AGGGUGAAAGCGAUCAUGGCCAAGGUGGCUGGCGUGGAUUAAUCAUGGCAAAUCCUGUGGUCUGGACAAAUAAAACAGGAGUCCUGUCAUCAAGAAGGAUGUGACAACAGCCACCUCAACGCCCCUGUCCUGUCAGAGUCUAGAUGCCAUGGGCUGGUUGUACUCUCCAUCAAAGACCUCCAGUUCUUGCUGAGUGGUACAUACUCUUAUCUUCUGGUCACUGAUGUUGGUUAUCCUCAUCUUUGUAAAUAGCCCAUCUUUCAACUUCUCCUUUGCCACUUAGCUCAUGACCUCAGCUCGGGGGAUAGUGCCACCCACAGUGGAUGGGUCUUCUGACCUUAAUUAGCUUAAUCGAGAACAGGAAUGCCCAGAGAGGCUCGUCACCCAGGAGAGCCCAUCCCGCUGACAUCUGAGAUUAACCAGCCUGGUGCCACAGCAUGGAGCUUAACAAAAAUAUGCACACCCAGGUUCUAGUCCUAGAAAAUCCUAUUCAGUAAGUCUGAGAUAGGGCGUAGGUU